GCGCCGGUGGUGUAAGGCGAGCAUCGCUGCCCGGAAAGCAGCGGAUGCGGGUUCGAGUCCCGCCUGGCGCA
rfam:Heligmosomoides polygyrus genome assembly, scaffold: HPBE_scaffold0002441